GGAAAACUUAGAACGGACUCUAGCAUGCGCCUCUCACCGUCAGUGUGGGGCUUUCAAGACCCACAGCUGAGCCAUCACUGAAAGAGGUUGUAAGCCUGGCCCUCCCACCUCCGGAAAGGCUCCCAAACCUCUGCAGGCUCGUCCAGGAUCAAGGAGUCAUCAUGGUCUGCUGCCUGGCUCACUGACGGCUGUCUUCUCACCACAUCCUCCCAUGGUAGCGUCACCAAAAGGCGUGGGGUCCGACCGCUUGCAGUCCCAAAGCCAAUAAGCAGACCAGGUCGCAUCUCAGACAUUUUGUUCAUACUGAGUCCAAGCCAGGAUCAACAAAGAGACAACCUGUGAUGACCCCAUUCCUAGUUCUUAUUCCUGGGUGGAGAUGUGGGCCUUUCCGCAGGUGACUGUCAGGUUCCUGAUGAUAUUCACAAUGAAUUGAACGAUCACAUAGGUCUCACACUUCUAUGUGCAGCUGCUAUAUCUCCCUCACAAGA